GACAGAGGUGGCAAGCGUUGCUCGGAUUCACUGGGCUUAAAGGGCGCGUAGGCGGCUUUGUAAGUCCGAGGUGGAAUUCCACAGCUUAACUGUGGAACUGCCUUGGAAACUGCAAGGCUUGAGUCAGGUAGAGGGAGGCGGAAUUCCCGGUGUAGCAGUGAAAUGCGUAGAUAUCGGGAGGAAGGCCGGUGGCGAAGGCGGCCCUCUGGGCCUGUACUGACACUGAGGCGCGAAAGCGUGGGGAGCAAACAGG
rnacentral:rRNA from 1 species